GGUUAUUGUUAGUGGAAAGCUCAGAGCUCAGCGUGCCAAGUCUAUGAAAUUCAAGGAUGGAUAUAUGAUCUCCUCUGGUCAACCUGUCAAUGAAUAUAUUGACUCUGCUGUCAGGCAUGUUCUUUUAAGACAGGUUAGUUGCUUCCCAUUUCUGCAUUUGCUCCUGUCUGCAGUCUUUGAUUUGCUAAUUUUUCUGAAGACUCAUAUUUUGUUUUUUAUUGUCUUGUUCCUCUGGUAUUAGGGUGUGCUUGGUAUUAAGGUCAAGAUCAUGCUUGACUGGGAUCCUAAGGGCAAGGUAGGACCAAUGACACCAUUGCCCGAUCUUGUCACCAUUCAUCCUCCCAAGGAAGAAGAAGAGUAUGUCCCUCCAGUAUUGACAACCAAUAUUGAGAUUCCAGUUCCAGUUCCAGUUGCAUAAGUCCUGAAUAUCGAUAAAUAAGUCUUCUAGUACCGAGUCAAGGCUCUUUGUUUUUAUUAUAUACACAUCUUAAGAGGAGAAAACACU
rnacentral:lncRNA from 1 species